rnacentral:rRNA from 1 species
GUGGGGAAUAUUGGGCAAUGGGGGAAACCCUGACCCAGCAACGCCGCGUGAAGGAAGAAGGUUUUCGGAUCGUAAACUUCUAUCCUUGGUGAAGAUAAUGACGGUAGCCAAGAAGGAAGCACCGGCUAACUACGUGCCAGCAGCCGCGGUAAUACGUAGGGGGCAAGCGUUGUCCGGAAUGAUUGGGCGUAAAGGGCGCGUAGGCGGCCUGGUAAGUCUGGAGUGAAAGUCCUGCUUUUAAGGUGGGAAUUGGUUUGGAUACUGGCGGGCGUGAGUGCAGGAGAGGUAAGCGGAAUUCCCGGUGUAGCGGUGAAAUGCGUAGAGAUCGGGAGGAACACCAGUGGCGAAGGCGGCUUACUGGACUGUAACUGACGCUGAGGCGCGAAAGUGUGGGGAGCAAACAGGAUUAGAUACCCGGGUAGUCC